rnacentral:rRNA from 1 species
UUAAUAAGCGGAGGAAAAGAAACUAACAAGGAUUCCCUCAGUAACGGCGAGUGAAGCGGGAAGAGCUCAAAUUUGAAAUCUCCGAUGCUUGCAUCGGCGAGUUGUAGUUGCGAGAAGCACUUUCUAGGCGGAUCGGCGGUGCCUAAGUUGCUUGGAACAGCACGUCGCAGAGGGUGACAACCCCGUCUGUGGCGCCGGCGGCCGCCGACGAUGUGCUUUCGAAGAGUCGGGUUGUUUGGGAAUGCAGCCCAAAAGGGGUGGUAAACUCCAUCUAAAGCUAAAUACUGGCGUGAGACCGAUAGCGA